rnacentral:tRNA from 1 species
GUGGGCGCUGGGCGGCGUGGCCGGGCACGCGGGCCUGUUCUCGACGGGCCGGGACCUCGCGGUGUUCUGCCGCACCCUCCUCGCC